rnacentral:lncRNA from 1 species
GGGACAAGCAGCCUCAGUGAUGUGAAUUAGCAAGGAGCGGUGGCAUUGUUGGAGAGCACAGUUUUGCCAUUAAAAUGUGGUGUGUUUGGUGUUUUUUUGUUUUUGUUUUUGCUUUUUUAAAGUAGGCAGUUCUCAUAGGAUGUCUACUUGCCGCAUGCCUUUGGACAAUGCACUGCCCUCUGCUCUGAGCUCCUCUACCCUAGUCAUGGGAACAGGGGCAUUUUGUGCCAGCACUUGGUGCGUUAUUGAAGAGCCUUCCUUCAGGUUUGUGCAGGGUGUUGAGUGCCUCCACUUGCCCCUGCAAAGAGUUUUGAAGCUUAAAUACCCUCAAUGUUAUUCUCGUAGGCACCAUCACUUGUAUUUUCACCCCUACUCCAGGCUGGAGAGGUGAACGCAGUCCUACCUGCUCGUGCUAUGGCAAGCCCCAGUUCACCACCUUUCUCUCAGAGGUUGUGGUACCUCUACCCAAAGCCAAACCUCACCACUGGCUGCCAUUUCUCUCUCCUCCCCCUCUUCCUCGUUGGACUUGUUUCCUCUUCUCAGAUAUUUGCGGCAAAUGCAUGUCUCUUGCUUUGUCCUGUAAACUCUGUGUGACCAUGGGAACGGUUGCUGACCCAGCUGGCAGCCCGCAUGCUCUUCUCAUUAAACUUUGGCUCUCGCCUCAGCUGGAUCUUUAGGCAACAUCCAGGCACCUCUGUCAUCCAGACCCCUGAAGUACCUGGUGGAAGUGGCUGGUGGUGUCAGGAGGGUGGACCACUUGGGAACCAUUGUUUUCUGGCAAAAACAAUGGAGAGGAGAGGAGCUGGGUUAUCUGCCUGGUCCUCCCAGCCUACUUGGUGUGUCCAAUACAGAGCUGCAGUGAAUAAACAGAGUAGAAGAUUGCACCAAGGCAAUGGCUUUGACCAAGGAUAUGUAUACCUCUUGCUGCUUUCAAAGAGUGCUGGCAUCAGACCAGAGGAGGGAUAUGAAACAAAAUAGGGGCUGGGAGAUCCUUUUUUUUUUUUUUUUUUUUUUACCACUGUAUGGGAGUUGUUGUAGAAUAAACUCUCACGGCUGUCCCUGGGGAAGACUGAG